CGGGUUUUAUAUCGACAGAUGGAAGUGCAAAUGCCUUUGAAGUCAUCACAUGUUUAUGGUUUGCAACAUCGAUUUAAAAUGUCAUUAUCCGCUCGAAAGGAACUGAUGACAAGAACAACAUAACCAUAAACAAACAAGAUAUCUCGAAAAUACCUGUUUAUCCUGCAGUUAAUCCGAAUGAAACGUACACCUUCUCACGCAAACAGCAAGCACGUCCCUCGAGUUACAGUACUUAUUUUUUAUUUCAUUUUUUCAGCGAAGGAAUUAAGCGAUGUUGACGUUAUUGCUAUAGCAGUUUCAUUGGGACUAACUGCAUUUUUGGUGGUUUUCGUGGGCUACUUUGUGUGGCGAGCAAGAAACAACCCCCCAAUCAACAAAAACAACAACAUAGCAGGACAUAAUAAUCCCGUCGCUGUCACCGAGGAUGCGCUCGGACCUGGUGAAGUUCGUGUAAUUAGCAUGAAUUCACUUCAGUAUAUUAGCAGCUCCUAAAAAGAUCUGCUCCUGCAAGAUCGACAGAAAUAUUAUGGAAGGCCUUCAACCGUGUAAUGCCAUUUACUUAUAGCGGUUGUUUUGUUAUUCAAGUGGUUCUGCACUAAAUUCAUUGCCAAGAAUUUUUAUACGCACUUACAGCAUGGAUACCGAAAGUAGAUUUAAGAACAAAAUAGUUCAGAAAGAAAUUUAGACAUAAAAAGACUGUGGUUUUGAGUCAGACACCUUGUAUCAAUGCUCUUUAUAAUUGGCUGUUUACAGGUAUGCUUUUCGAAAAAUAAUUUGAAAAAUUUGUAUUAGAACAAUUACGUUAUUAUCAUAUAAAAAAGGUUUGAACUUGCAAUGUUGAGCGUCCGUAACAAAGCAAUAAUUGUAGAUAAGUGUCUACUUGAAGAAUUAGACAACAACGUCUUAUUGUGUUCUGUCCAGAUAGGAUGAGUAUUAAAGUACGAUAGGAAAAAAAAAGUUGGAGAGAGUCUUAACUUUUUGUCAAGGUUGUAUUGCGUUCAAGAUUGUUUCCCUGAAACACUUUAUGGAACAAUCGGAGAGGCGGAAUUUAAUUUAAAGUGCAAAACAUAAACAGAAACGUUUCCGAAACGAAAGUUUUCGGAAAGUUUUUCACUAUUACGUGUAAAAAGUCAAGAAACAUAUUGAAGACCCAGGAUAAUCCUUAAGGGCUUGUGCGAGUUUUUCGCAUCAAAGUAUCUCCGAACAAAUUGAGAGGAAUUGAAAGAAUUUGUUUAGAUGCAGACCUUUUCCUCUUGCGUAAGGACUAUGGAGUAACUGGUCGGCCGACGGGCAGUUCAAAACGGAUACCACAACAUCGUUUUCUAAUGACAUCGAAAAUUCACUUUGUCUGAGCUUGUCAGCUUUACAGUAAUCUAUUCAAUGACGAAGAUAGCAACUUCUAAAUUUUGACUUAUUGUUUUUUUUAGCAAUACAAAAAGUACAGACUACUGCGAUAAACUAUCUUUUUUUCUUUCAGUCUGCACUGGUAAGUUUAUUUACUUCUCCAAUCCUAUUAUUAGAAAGGAUAUCCACAGUCGAAAUGACAUCCUUCUCUCUAGCACGAAUGAACGUGAAUUUGAAGACUCAGAGCGGAUUUAUAAAUCAUUACAGUUAAAAACAAAGUUUCUUUUUUCUUACAUGACGCUCUGUGACAGCCUGUGUCGCCUGUAUUUAUUUUGACCUAGUACAGCGAUAACCUUUCACAGAUUAGGUCCUCUCUGUAGGGUACGGCAUCUGUUGAUUCGUCUUUAUUUAACGCCUUACGAACCUGUCAGACAAGUGAUCUUAUUUUUCUGUAAUGUGACGGCUGUGCUGUUUCUUUAUCGAGACUCGUCCAAAUUUUUUUUUUACUCUUGUUGAUUAAAAAAGAGGCUUUUA